rnacentral:hammerhead_ribozyme from 1 species
AUCUAGCUGACGACUCCCAAAUUUAGGACGAAAUGCGCAUCCUUUAU